AGCUUGCUCUGUGGGAUCAGUGGCGAACGGGUGAGUAACACGUGAGCAACCUGCCCCUGACUCUGGGAUAAGCGCUGGAAACGGCGUCUAAUACUGGAUAUGUGACGUGACCGCAUGGUCUGCGUUUGGAAAGAUUUUUCGGUUGGGGAUGGGCUCGCGGCCUAUCAGCUUGUUGGUGAGGUAAUGGCUCACCAAGGCGUCGACGGGUAGCCGGCCUGAGAGGGUGACCGGCCACACUGGGACUGAGACACGGCCCAGACUCCUACGGGAGGCAGCAGUGGGGAAUAUUGCACAAUGGGCGGAAGCCUGAUGCAGCAACGCCGCGUGAGGGAUGACGGCCUUCGGGUUGUAAACCUCUUUUAGCAGGGAAGAAGCGAAAGUGACGGUACCUGCAGAAAAAGCGCCGGCUAACUACGUGCCAGCAGCCGCGGUAAUACGUAGGGCGCAAGCGUUAUCCGGAAUUAUUGGGCGUAAAGAGCUCGUAGGCGGUUUGUCGCGUCUGCUGUGAAAUCCCGAGGCUCAACCUCGGGCCUGCAGUGGGUACGGGCAGACUAGAGUGCGGUAGGGGAGAUUGGAAUUCCUGGUGUAGCGGUGGAAUGCGCAGAUAUCAGGAGGAACACCGAUGGCGAAGGCAGAUCUCUGGGCCGUAACUGACGCUGAGGAGCGAAAGGGUGGGGAGCAAACAGGCUUAGAUACCCUGGUAGUCCACCCCGUAAACGUUGGGAACUAGUUGUGGGGUCCAUUCCACGGAUUCCGUGACGCAGCUAACGC
rnacentral:rRNA from 1 species